rnacentral:pre_miRNA from 1 species
CUAUCAGAGUUUAUUGGCAUUCUGUCCACCUCCACUUUCUUCUCUUCUCUUCUCUCUCAAAGAGACACGUCAACCAUCCAUCCAUGGAGGUGGGCAUACUGCCAACUCAGUUCUGUUAG